UUUUUGAGUCACGGUGAUUAA
ensembl:piRNA 21ur-3388 ncRNA